GCGAGAUCGUGACCUCAGCCGAAGUCGGCCGCCCGACCUACUGAGCCACCCAGCGCUUAAGAGAUCUUCAGUUUGGGUUCCUCUUCAGUGUGCUCCUGACCUCCCCUCAAGUGAGGACCGGUAUCUUUGAUGUUUUCUGCUUGAACCUGGGUUGAAACUACAUGACCUUUUGAGAACGUGCAGAAUCCUCCGCCCCAGAAUCCUCCCCUUGGGACCUCGCUGUGCUUGUUGUGUAUGUCAAAAAACGGGCAAGCGACGCGCACAUAAAAUGUCAAGAUCCAAGAAAACUGCAAGACCGACCUGCUUAACCAAGCAUUUCUGGAAGGGAAGAGUCCUUUUGACUAAUGCUUUCAGACAGUCUGCUCCCUGUCCAUUUAUCACCAGUUCCUGUUUGCCAAUCCCAAGCAUAUCAUUUAUAUGUGCCCAGAAUCCCUGGGUAAUGGGCAUGCUGUAAAAAUAAAUAGAAUAAAUAAAUUAGUUCUUGAGCUUCUCGAAUAAAUCCAGUUGAAUUAAA